CACGGAAUGAAUGUUACACUGCAACCAGGCGGCUUGGUCAGAAAGGAUCCCUUCGGCUGGAAUGUACCUGGCCACGGUUCUGAGGAAACUUGGAUGAAGUUGUGAAAACCAUAAACUGUUUUUUUUUUUUUUUUCAUUUACUUGGAAAUUGCUGAAACUCAGGGAACACAAAUCCACUGAGACAGAAGCAAAAGAAAAAGGUUGUCAUUCUUCUCACUUGCCAUUGUGCCCACUUCUUCCCGAUGCCUUGCCAGGACACACGUCGAGAUGCUGAGCAAGUCCUUGAAGGAAGGAACACAACUCCCUUUCUUUCUGCACAAUGAAAGCUGGUAUAUUGCUGUGUGACACCAGACAGUUAUUCAUCAAGGGUGUUCUUUGCACAAGUGAGAGGCUUUGUCCAAGAGGACGAUGGCUGCGACGCUGAUAAAGCUAAUAAUCCGCAGCUUCUAUGUGAUGCUUUUCCUCCUCGCCUGCCGAAGGACUUCACAAAGGAUGGCAUUCUUAUCCUGCCAUUAUAGAAGAAGGCAACUAAUGCAACAAAGAGUGAAGAAACUAGUCCAAGAUAAGUCAAGAUGUUUGCUGGAAGCUGCUGUGCCAUGGUGGCUAGAGGCUGAGAUCCACAGAGGGAAUAAAAGCCACAAAAAAAGCCUCCUCUGGGCCACUCUGGAAGGAAGUCAGAAGGUUUACAUAUGGAAAUUAUCUGUUUGCCAGGGACUCAGGGGUUGAAGGGAGACCCGUGAAGUGUUGGCGCCCGGGCCAGCGUAAACUGGGCCAAGACCCAGCGUAUCCUGAACACAUACAUCAUUUUCAACAGGGAGCUGUCAAGCAGCACAGAGCCAGUCAGAUAUCACUGGAGAAAAAUCUCUGCUCUUCGGGGACGGGAGGAAUCUCUCCGUGACUCAAGAGCGGACGGCUUGGCAGCGGCGGCUCGGCCAACUCCUGUCAGUGGAUUAACAAAUUACGCAGAUAUGCUCUCCGCUUUGUAUUUACAGCACAUGACUGGAAAGAAGAAGGCGCAGUCGGAAGGGAUAAUGCGAGAAGAGCUCAGUUUCCACAUGUAGUGUCAGCUGGACGGCCAGAAGGGAGUCUGAUGAAAGCCAGCAGCCUGCAGCAGGAUGCUGCCUGUCUGUCUACCUCGAGCGCCUAUACCCCGGUGUUUAAGGGCAUACGAUCCCAUCUCCUCAUCCCAGAUAAGACACAGCAUCACAAGCUACUGAUAUUUCCCUCUAAGUCCCAAUGCUUAAGCUAAUGCUGAGCCUGUGUCUUUAAGCCCUGUUUGUUGCUCCUCUCGUUGCCAUAGCAUUUAGUGUUUCCAUGUUGGAGAUUUCCUUUUUUUUUUUUUUUUCCAGACAUUACCCCAUCAGCACAGCUCCAGACCUGGGAUUCCAGCCACUUUUUGGCUAAGAGGAAACUAAUUCUUGUUGCUAUAAAAGUAUCAUGCCAUGUAAAUGCCUGUGGCUCGGAUCUAGGUCCCCGUGUCUAGGAAUAGCAGCACAGCUCUGGGGGAGUGGGAGAGGAGAGGAGAGGAGGGAGCAAGCAGACCUCUGCGCGUCUCAUCUCCUUCCUCCGAGUCAACCUGUCCUCCCCAGGCCAGGAAGAAGAAUGGGCCUUCCCAAUCUUCCAGCACAGUAGCAAACCCUGUUUUUUUUUUUUUUUUUGGCAUGAAGGACACUUGCCUCUGGGUUGCACCUGCCUGAGAGGGCCGAGGCCACCAGCCCCACCAGCAGUGCUGACCCACUGUGAGGUCCUGGGCUGAGCUGCAGCUGAGAGAAGAUAUCCUCUGCUUGAGUGCAGUGACUCUGAGACAAAAGAAAUUGCUCAGUUUGGGCCAGAUCCAAAGCCCAAGGCAGCAGGAGCUCAUCCAGCCCUUCCAGAGGUGCCGCUCCCUGGUUAGAUGCAGCCCAUCCAUAUGGACUUGGGGCAUGAGGUGGGCACGGGACAAAGCGUGGCACCAGAGCCCCCUCCCUUGCGACAUCCCCCCUUUGCAGCCGCAUAAAACUGAGUGAAGUCUGCUCCUUGCACUCAGACAUUAACGCUGCCCUGAAAUCACCACGCUGGCCAGAGCUUCUGCUCGCCUAUCCGGAACACAGAAGUAAUGAAUGGAUAUUUAAUUGCCGUAGUAAAGUGUCUGCUGAUACAGGGAUGGAAAAUAUGAGCUAAGCACAAAGUACCACUAAUAUUAAGCUAUUUCUUACAGCAUUGUUAGCACUGCUUCGUGCAAAUCAUUGCUAUUGACUCACCCUGGCACACACAUUAUUUAUGCUGCGCAAAGUGUCAAUCUGUCACAUUGCAGCACAGAUUGGAAGAAUAAGAUAAAAUGCUCUGGGGAAUACGGCGUGAAGCUUUAACUGGCUCCGAGUAACAGCUACCGCUAAUUAUUAACAUUAUGUGUUCUAUUAAAUUACAUUCCAAUAAUAAAGCAUUUCAGCUACUGUAUUAUGUCA
rnacentral:lncRNA from 1 species